rnacentral:rRNA from 1 species
AUACGGGAUUCCCUAGUAGCGGCGAGCGAAGCGGGAAGAGCUCAAAUUUAUAAUCUGGCACCUUCGGUGUCCGAGUUGUAAUCUCUAGAAAUGUUUUCCGCGUUGGACCGCACACAAGUCUGUUGGAAUACAGCGGCAUAGUGGUGAGACCCCCGUAUAUGGUGCGGACGCCCAGCGCUUUGUGAUACAUUUUCGAAGAGUCGAGUUGUUUGGGAAUGCAGCUCAAAUUGGGUGGUAAAUUCCAUCUAAAGCUAAAUAUUGGCGAGAGACCGAUAGCGAACAAGUACCGUGAGGGAAAGAUGAAAAGCACUUUGGAAAGAGAGUUAACAGUACGUGAAAUUGUUGGAAGGGAAACGCUUGAAGUCAGACUUGCUUGCCGAGCAAUCGGUUUGCAGGCCAGCAUCAGUUUUCCGGGAUGGAUAAUGGUAGAGAGAAGGUAGCAGUUUCGGCUGUGUUAUAGCUCUCUGCUGGAUACAUCUUGGGGGACUGAGGAACGCAGUGUGCCUUUUGGCGGGGGUUUCGACCUCUUCACACUUAGGAUGCUGGUGGAAUGGCUUUAAACGACCCGUCUAAAAACCGGGGACCA